GCCCGGUUAGCUCAGUCGGUAGAGCAUGAGACUCUUAAUCUCAGGGUCGUGGGUUUGAACCCCACAUUGGGAUUCA